rnacentral:rRNA from 1 species
GAUAAGAACUCUCCGAAAAAAUUACGCUGUUAUCCCUAAGGUAAGUUAAUCUUAUAAUCAAAAAUUCUGGAUCAAAAAAACAUAAAUUAAUGAAAAAAAUAUUAAAAGUUAAAUAAAUUUUAAUGUCACCCCAACAGAACUUUAUAUUCUAAAAAAUAGUUUAAUUAACAAAAAACAAUAAUUAAUAAAUAAAGUAAACUUCUAUAGGGUCUUCUCGUCCUAUAAAAAAAUUUUAGCUUUUUAACUAAAAAAUUAAAUUCAAAAUAAUUAAAAAAAGAAAGUUUAUUUUUCAUCAAACCAUUCAUACUAGCCUUCAAUUAAAAGACAAAUGAUUAUGCUACCUUCGUACAGUUAAAAUACCGCAGCCUUUUAAUUAAAAAAAAUCAAUGGGCAGGCCUGAUCUUAAAUUAAAGUCAAAAGACC